GACGUAGGGCGCGAGCGUUGUCCGGAUUUAUUGGGCGUAAAGAGCGUGUAGGCGGCCAAGUAGGUCCGGUGUGAAAACUCGAGGCUCAACCUCGAGACGCCGGUGGAAACCAUCAGGCUAGAGUCCGGAAGAGGAGAGUGGAAUUCCUGGUGUAGCGGUGAAAUGCGCAGAUAUCAGGAAGAACACCCGUGGCUAAGGCGGCUCUCUAGUACGGUACUGACGCUGAGACGCGAAAGCGUGGGGAGCGAACAGG
rnacentral:rRNA from 1 species